rnacentral:rRNA from 1 species
UACGUAGGGUGCAAGCGUUGUCCGGAAUUAUUGGGCGUAAAGAGCGUGUAGGCGGCCCGACCAGUCCGCUCUGAAAGCCCGGGGCUCAACCCCGGGAGGCGGGCGGAUACUGUCGGGCUAGAGUCCGGAAGAGGCGAGUGGAAUUCCUGGUGUAGCGGUGAAAUGCGCAGAUAUCAGGAAGAACACCAAUGGCGAAGGCAGCUCGCUGGGACGGUACUGACGCUGAGACGCGAAAGCGUGGGGAGCAAACAGG